AAGGACGAACGCUGGCGGCGUGCCUAAUACAUGCAAGUCGAACGGCUUUUCUAUGGAAGCUUGCUUCCACUGAGAAGAUAGUGGCGAACGGGUGAGUAACACGUGGGUAACCUGCCCAUAAGAGGGGGGAUAACAUCCGGAAACGGGUGCUAAUACCGCAUAGUUUUCUUGAUCGCAUGAUCGGGAAAGGAAAGACGGCCUUUGUGCUGUCGCUUAUGGAUGGACCCGCGGCGUAUUAGUUAGUUGGUGAGGUAACGGCUCACCAAGACGAUGAUACGUAGCCGACCUGAGAGGGUGAUCGGCCACAUUGGGACUGAGACACGGCCCAAACUCCUACGGGAGGCAGCAGUAGGGAAUCUUCCGCAAUGGACGAAAGUCUGACGGAGCAACGCCGCGUGAGUGAAAGAAGGUUUUCGGACUCGUAAAACUCUGUUGUCAGAGAAGAACAAGUUGGAGAGUAACUGCUCCAGCCUUGACGGUAUCUGACCAGAAAGCCACGGCUAACUACGUGCCAGCCGCGGC
rnacentral:rRNA from 1 species